UAAAGAUUUGCGACAUACAUAUGUAUAUACUAUAUGUAGCUCAAUUCAACUAUAGCGGAUACUAAGGAGACUUUAUAUGGAAAUAUAUUACAUUGACAGCCAGCCAUAUGAGCACAUAUGUAUGUAUUCAUUACAAAUAGUCAUACAUAAGUAUGGACGCACAAAAAUACACGCGGUUAUACGUACACAUGCACGAGUAUAUGUAUGCUAUGGAAUUAUUGCACGGUCUCGACUACUCUUUCAACAAAUCAUCACGUAAACAAUUAUUGCCUUUUCUCUAUAGUAAUAACACUAUUUGCUCGCGGUCGCACAUCAUGCAUUUGCACAUUUCAUUUAAUUAAUAAUAAUUUGAAUGUGGUGUAUUACCACUAUAUGCUCACAUUUGUUGCUGCAUACUUCAAUAUAUUCUUGUUUUAUACAAUA